rnacentral:rRNA from 1 species
UUGACCUCGAAUCAGGUAGGAAUACCCGCUGAACUUAAGCAUAUCAAUAAGCGGAGGAAAAGAAACCAACAGGGAUUGCCCCAGUAACGGCGAGUGAAGCGGCAACAGCUCAAAUUUGAAAUCUGGCCCCUUGGGGCCCGAGUUGUAAUUUGCAGAGGAUACUUUUGGCGAGGCGCCUUCCGAGUUCCCUGGAACGGGACGCCAUAGAGGGUGAGAGCCCCGUCUGGUUGGAUGCCGAGCCUCUGUAAAGUUCCUUCGACGAGUCGAGUAGUUUGGGAAUGCUGCUCUAAAUGGGAGGUAUAUGUCUUCUAAAGCUAAAUAUAGGCCAGAGACCGAUAGCGCACAAGUAGAGUGAUCGAAAGAUGAAAAGCACUUUGGAAAGAGGGUUAAAAAGCACGUGAAAUUGUUGAAAGGGAAGCGCUUGUGACCAGACGUGGGCCUGUCGGAUCAUCCAGCGUUCUCGCUGGUGCACUCCGGCGGGCUCAGGCCAGCAUCAGCUCGUCCCGGGGGACAAAGGCAGCGGGAAUGUGGCUCCUUCGGGAGUGUUAUAGCCCGCUGUGUAAUGCCCUGGGGCGGGCUGAGGUUCGCGCAUCUGCAUG